CAGUAGCCGCGGGAACACGGAGGGUGCAAGCGUUAUCCGGAUUUAUUGGGUUUAAAGGGUCCGUAGGCGGACUUAUAAGUCAGUGGUGAAAGCCUGUCGCUUAACGAUAGAACUGCCAUUGAUACUGUAAGUCUUGAGUAUAUUUGAGGUAGCUGGAAUAAGUAGUGUAGCGGUGAAAUGCAUAGAUAUUACUUAGAACACCAAUUGCGAAGGCAGGUUACCAAGAUAUAACUGACGCUGAGGGACGAAAGCGUGGGUAGCGAACAGGAUUAGAUACCCCCGUAGUCCCUGUCUCUUAUAU
rnacentral:rRNA from 1 species